rnacentral:rRNA from 1 species
UACGAAGGGGGCUAGCGUUGCUCGGAAUCACUGGGCGUAAAGGGUGCGUAGGCGGGUCUUUAAAGUCAGGGGUGAAAUCCUGGAGCUCAACUCCAGAACUGCCUUUGAUACUGAAGAUCUUGAGUUCGGGAGAGGUGAGUGGAACUGCGAGUGUAGAGGUGAAAUUCGUAGAUAUUCGCAAGAACACCAGUGGCGAAGGCGGCUCACUGGCCCGA